UACAGAGGUCUCAAGCGUUGUCCGGAUUUAUUGGGCGUAAAGAGCUCGUAGGCGGUUCGGUAAGUCGGGUGUGAAACCUCCAGGCUCAACCUGGAGAUGCCACCUGAUACUGCUGUGACUCGAGUCCGGUAGGGGAGCGUGGAAUUCCUGGUGUAGCGGUGAAAUGCGCAGAUAUCAGGAGGAACACCAGCGGCGAAGGCGGCGCUCUGGGCCGGAACUGACGCUGAGGAGCGAAAGCGUGGGUAGCAAACAGG
rnacentral:rRNA from 1 species